ACAGGCGUAGGCGAUGGACAACAGGCUGAUAUUCCUGGACCACCUCUUUAUCGUUUGGGCAAUGGAGGGACGCAGAAGGAUCGAAGAAGCGUGCGAUUGGUUGUGCACGUCCAAGCAGUUAGGGUGAUAAGUAGGCAAAUCCGCUUAUCGUGAAGGCUGAGCUGUGAUGGGGAAGCUCCUUAUGGAGCGAAGUCUUUGAUUCCCAGCUGCCAAGAAAAGCUUCUAG
rnacentral:rRNA from 1 species